ensembl:misc_RNA 7SK 7SK RNA
GGAUGUGAGGACGAUCUGGCGGCGACCUGUGUCACCCCAUUGAUCACCAGGUCUGAUUCAGCUGAUCUGGCUGGCUAGGCGGGCGUUCCCUUCCUCCCUCACCACUCCAUGUGUGUCCCUCCAGAAGCUAUGGGCUCGAUCUAAGAGGACAGCCAUCCCCGAUAGAGGAGGACUCUUUCCUCGGUCAAGGGUAUAUAAGUAGUUGUGCUCCCCCACUAGAACCUCCAAACAACCUCUCAAAAGCUCUUAUAAGUACCAUUUUUAAAAGACUGGUUGUUAUUUACAUUGUUAUUAAAAUUAUAGUCCUUUAUCCCAGUUCAAUAUUAAAAAAUGCACAUUGCUGUUUAGGAAUU